UACGUAGGGUGCGAGCGUUAAUCGGAAUUACUGGGCGUAAAGCGUGCGCAGGCGGUUUUGUAAGCCAGAUGUGAAAUCCCCCGGGCUUAACCUGGGAAUGGCAUUUGGGACUGCAAGGCUUGAGUGCGGCAGAGGAGACUGGAAUUCCUGGUGUAGCAGUGAAAUGCGUAGAUAUCAGGAGGAACACCGAUGGCGAAGGCAGGUCUCUGGGCUGACACUGACGCUCAUGCACGAAAGCGUGGGGAGCGAAACAA
rnacentral:rRNA from 1 species